GUAGGUGGCAAGCGUUGUCCGGAAUUAUUGGGCGUAAAGCGCGCGCAGGCGGUUCUUUAAGUCUGAUGUGAAAGCCCACGGCUCAACCGUGGAGGGUCAUUGGAAACUGGAGAACUUGAGUACAGAAGAGGAAAGCGGAAUUCCACGUGUAGCGGUGAAAUGCGUAGAGAUGUGGAGGAACACCAGUGGCGAAGGCGGCUUUCUGGUCUGUAACUGACGCUGAGGCGCGAAAGCGUGGGGAGCAAACAGGGAUUAGAUACCCUGGUAGUCCACGCCGUAAACGAUGAGUGCUAAGUGUUAGGGGGUUUCCGCCCCCUUAGUGCUGCAGCUAGCGCAUUAAGCACUCCGCCUGGGAGUACGGCCGCAAGGCUG
rnacentral:rRNA from 1 species